rnacentral:lncRNA from 1 species
AAAAAAACCAAAAUAAAUAAAAUAAAAUAAGGUCCAAAGUCCAACAUUACAAAAAGCCCAGCUUUUAGCCUAAUACCAAAUUUACAUUUAACCCACAUACAAUUGAAGCCCAAAUUUUAAACUCAUUUUACAAUAAGGCCCAAUCUUAAAACAGCCCAAAUGGCCCGGGCAAAUUGAAACUUCUGGAACCUUAGGGUUCCCUUGCGCCGCAGCCUUCACAAGCGGCCUCUCCACAUCGCACGUGCUCCUCCGUUCCUCCGUACACCCCACGAACGGCCUCACCAUGUCAGCAGCACCACAACCUUCAUACCCACAACGGACUAACAACUCACAACAGAUUGACAGCAAAUAGAUCUAAGGGAAAAUUUUUUGUAUUUAUUAUUAUUAUUCUUUUUAUUCGACUAUAAAGGCCAGUGAAAUCGAAUGUAAAGAGGAUCUUUUCCACAAAAAAAAUACAAUACAGAUACAGAAAAACAGAGAGUAGGAUUUGACUUUUUCAAAUACAAUGAGAUUUUCCAUUUUUCUUCUCUUUAAGAGGUGAUUGGUGAUUCUGAUUUUCCUUUUUAAGUUUUUUACAACAAAAGAAAAAAAGCAAAAAGAGUGAAAAGAUCGAAAGUACCUUUUCCAGCCAUCGUUAUUCACGAUCGAAAUGGAUUAGUGGCGCAUUUGAGCCCUAGCAGAGGAGAAAGGGAAAAAACCCUUCUGCUCCUUUCGAUUUUGAGGCAAAUGCCUUUGACAGGAAGGUUUCUUUGUUUCUUAUGCAUAAA